UACGGGGGGGGCAAGCGUUGUUCGGAAUUACUGGGCGUAAAGGGCUCGUAGGCGGCCAACUAAGUCAGACGUGAAAUCCCUCGGCUUAACCGGGGAACUGCGUCUGAUACUGGAUGGCUUGAGUUUGGGAGAGGGAUGCGGAAUUCCAGGUGUAGCGGUGAAAUGCGUAGAUAUCGGGAGGAACACCGGUGGCGAAGGCGGCAUCCUGGACCGGCAUUGACGCUGAGGCGCGAAAGCCAGGGGAGCAAACGGG
rnacentral:rRNA from 1 species